rnacentral:rRNA from 1 species
CAGUAGCCGCGGUAAUACGUAGGGUGCGAGCGUUAAUCGAAAUUACUGGGCGUAAAGCGUGCGCAGGCGGUUGUGUAAGACAGGUGUGAAAUCCCCGGGCUUAACCUGGGAACUGCGCUUGUGACUGCACAGCUAGAGUAUGGCAGAGGGGGGUGGAAUUCCACGUGUAGCAGUGAAAUGCGUAGAGAUGUGGAGGAACACCGAUGGCGAAGGCAGCCCCCUGGGCCAAUACUGACGCUCAUGCACGAAAGCGUGGGGAGCAAACAGGAUUAGAUACCCCUGUAGUCCCUGUCUCUUAUAA